UGGCCCAGAUCGUUUACCGUGAAAAAAUUAGAGUGUUCAAAGCAGGCAGAUCCAAUUUUCUGCCACCGAAUACAUUAGCAUGGGAUAAUGGAAUAGGACCCUGUCCUCCUAUUUUCAGUUGGUUUGCCGCGAGGACCAGGGUAAUGAUUAAUAGGGAUAGUUGGGGGCAUUAAUAUUUAAUUGUCAGAGGUGAAAUUCUUGGAUUUAUGAAAGAUUAACUUCUGCGAAAGCAUCUGCCAAGGAUGUUUUCAUUAAUCAAGAACGAAAGUUAGGGGAUCGAAGACGAUCAGAUACCGUCGUAGUCUUAACCAUAAACGAUGCCGACCAGCGAUUAGGAGACGUGUGAAUACAAAACACCACCAUGCGCAUUGCGGUCGUCUUUGGUGUCGCUCACAAGGCGGCACCGGGGCGGCUAGUUCGACUGGU
rnacentral:rRNA from 1 species